UCCCUAGUGGCUCAGAUGGUAAAGAAUCUGCCUGCAACACAAGAGGCCCAGGUUCGAUCCCUGGCUCGGGAA
rnacentral:tRNA from 1 species